AUUGAACGCUGGCGGCAGGCCUAACACAUGCAAGUCGAGCGCGCGGCGGACGGGUGAGUAAUAUCUGGGAAACUGCCUGAUGGAGGGGGGUAACUACUGGAAAAGGUGGAUCAUAUAGCAUACCAUAUGAUGUGCCCAGAGGGGAUUAGCUAGUGGGUGGGGUAAUGGCUCCCCUAGGCGACGAUCCCUAGCUGGUCUGAGAGGAUGACCAGCCACACUGGAACUGAGACACGGUCCAGACUCCUACGGGAGGCAGCAGUGGGGAAUAUUGCACAAUGGGCGCAAGCCUGAUGCAGCCAUGCCGCGUGUAUGAAGAAGGCCUUCGGGUUGUAAAGUACUUUCAGCGAGGAGGCGUUACUCGCAGAAGAAGCACCGGCUAACUCCGUGCCAGCCGCCGCGGUAAUUC
rnacentral:rRNA from 1 species